CGUGCGGAAGGUUUUCUUUGUCGGCAAAGAUGCUAAGCCCUUCUCACCGCAAGUAUAUCGCAAGAGCGCUUUUGUUAGGCUGAUUUAGAUGACGCCGUGGGGGCGCGUGGAAGCUGUUCAUUUCCUCUACG